CCUACGGGGGGCUGCAGUGGGGAAUUUUGCGCAAUGGGCGAAAGCCUGACGCAGCAACGCCGCGUGGGUGAUGAAGGUCUUCGGAUCGUAAAACCCUGUCGUUGGGGACGAAGGUGGGGGCGUUAAUAGCGUUUCUGCUUGACGGUACCCGGAGAGGAAGCCCCGGCUAACUCUGUGCCAGCAGCCGCGGUAAUACAGAGGGGGCAAGCGGGGCGCGGAAUUAUUGUGGGUGAUUGGCGAAGUCGCGGGUGUAAUCCCCGAGCUCAACGUGGGAACUGCAUAUGAGACUGGACGGCUAGAGUACGGGAGAGGGUGGUGGAAUUCCUCGUGUAGCGGUGAAAUGCGUAGAGAUGAGGAGGAACACCAGUGGCGAAGGCGGCCACCUGGACAGUAACUGACGCUGAGGCGCGAAAGUGUGGGUAGCAAACAGGAUUAGAUACCCCGGUAGUC
rnacentral:rRNA from 1 species